rnacentral:rRNA from 1 species
UAGGGAAUUUUGCGCAAUGGACGAAAGUCUGACGCAGCGACGCCGCGUGUGCGAUGAAGGCCUUUGGGUCGUAAAGCACUGUCGACCGGGACGAAACUCACGGACUAAUACUUCGUGAGUCUGACGGUACUGGUAAAGGAAGCACCGGCUAACUCUGUGCCAGCAGCCGCGGUAAUACAGAGGGUGCAAACGUUGCUCGGAAUUAUUGGGCGUAAAGCGCGUGUAGGCGGCUUGUUAAGUUGGUUGUGAAAACCCAUGGCUCAACCAUGGAAGUGCGUCCAAAACUGGCAAGCUAGAGUUCUGACGAGGAUGGCGGAAUUCCCAGUGUAGAGGUGAAAUUCGUAGAUAUUGGGAGGAACACCGGUGGCGAAGGCGGCCAUCUGGGAAGAUACUGACGCUGAGACGCGAAAGCGUGGGGAGCAAACAGGAUUAGAUACCCAAGUAGUCCCUGAGCGGGCUGGCAAGGCGCAU